rnacentral:rRNA from 1 species
AUUGAACGCUGGCGGCAUGCCUUACACAUGCAAGUCGAACGGUAACAGGUCUUCGGAUGCUGACGAGUGGCGAACGGGUGAGUAAUACAUCGGAACGUGCCCGAGAGUGGGGGAUAACGAGGCGAAAGCUUUGCUAAUACCGCAUACGAUCUCAGGAUGAAAGCAGGGGACCGCAAGGCCUUGCGCUCACGGAGCGGCCGAUGGCAGAUUAGGUAGUUGGUGGGAUAAAAGCUUACCAAGCCGACGAUCUGUAGCUGGUCUGAGAGGACGACCAGCCACACUGGGACUGAGACACGGCCCAGACUCCUACGGGAGGCAGCAGUGGGGAAUUUUGGACAAUGGGCGCAAGCCUGAUCCAGCCAUGCCGCGUGCAGGAUGAAGGCCUUCGGGUUGUAAACUGCUUUUGUACGGAACGAAAAGACUCUGGUUAAUACCUGGGGUCCAUGACGGUACCGUAAGAAUAAGCACCGGCUAACUACGUGCCAGCAGCAGCCGCAGUAA